CAUAAUUAAAAAAAUUAAAAGCAAAGGUAAAGCAUUAAUCUGAUAGUGAAGCUUCAGUUUCAGGAGAGAAAGAUAAUAAUUGAGGUUCUAGUUUUCUAAAGCUACACAGGGUGACUGAUAGGGACUGAGUGUGUGAAAGACUGAAAUGCUGUGGCUGGAGAUGCUGAGAAAGGGAAGAGGGGGAUGGACAGAAGGCCGGAGACCCAUGCACGACAUCAUCAGCGAUGACCUACAGAAAGUGAUCUCCCACAGGGAGCCACAGAUUAACUGGAAGUGGAAUUUAUAUCUUUCAUUUAAGGAAUUUCUAAACACAGGAAACUCAAUGCAUUUUACCAUCCAAAAGUGUUCGACAUGCAUAAGGAAAUGGAGCAUGAGGUUAUAUUAUAUAUCAGGCUGGUACAUGUGAAGUCGCCUGUUGACACGGCCUCAAAUGAGACCCUCACUGGUUAUUGACAGACAUGGCCUUUCAAGUGGUUUCACAGCACGCUCAGUUUCAGUCCAGUCUCCAGAGCUGUUGGAGCGACUUUCUAAAACUCGGAUCUAAGAGCCUCACCCAAGAGAACUUUGAAAGCCUCUCAAGUCUACAAAACUACUGCUCUAGGAGUGAUGCAAAUGAAAAUUCAGUUAACGCAUCAUGAACUGUACUAUUUGAGGCAAAGAACCAAAUCAACUCAAAUGCAGCAUCUUAUGACACGUGGCCUCUGCCCCGCUGGUGACGGACACCCAGCAGAACAUCAGUCUCUGUAGCACGAGUUUUAUAUAAUAUAGUUAUCCCCUAGAUCUGCUCUAAAUACAGGCUCUAAUUCCAAAAGGAAGGUGAAAACCAUUAGCCUGCAAACAGUAGUUUAAACAUAGUGUCAUGUACCUGCCACACCCUACAUGAUUUGGCCCAAAUUAUUAACACAAACUCAUUCCCACUUCUUUACUUCUGUCUCCAAACAACUAACCCCUUGAUCACCUGCAACUAUGCAUUCAAUGCUCUUGCCCUGGAAUGUGUUCCCAAACCAUCUUCACCUCAUUUAUUCCUAUUUCUCAAUACUUGUGUCAGUCAAUGCCUUGCCUGUGUUUACAGGAGAGUCCUCAGGUGUGAAAACCAUGAUCAUCUGUUUGCUUACUAUCUUCUCUUCACCACCCAAGGCUGUAGGCUCCUUGGGGCAGAAGCCAUGUCUUCUGUUUGUAUCUGGGGCAGAAGCCACGUCUUCUGUUUGUAUCUGGUUCCUAUUACCAUGCUUAGUGCCUAGUAUCGUGCCUGACACAAAAUAGAUGCUCAGUAAUUGUCUAUUGCUUUAGCCGAAGGAAAGAAAUACAGGCUGGAAUGACUGAUGUUUAGGUACAUUUGUAAGCAGUUGGCAAAACAUGUUCAAAAGGUAUUAACUAAGGGAUUGUUUUUUUAAUUUUCAGAGAGGCAUCUAGUGGUGUGCUGCAGGGAUGUGAUGCUCUAGACUUGGUUAGCAUCUUUAUCAAUGGCAAUGAUAAAAAGGGCAUCCUCAAUGAAUAAGUGGAAGAAUUGAAGGAGAGAAGGAAAGAAGGGAGAGUGAAUAGACAGAACAUUUGCUAAAUGUGUAAUUUUCAUUAUGUGUUGCAUUUCACCUUUCCAACAACUGUACAGGACAGGUGCUGUUCUCCCCAUUUUACGAAGCAGGAAAUUGAAGCUCUGAAAGGGUAAUUGAAUAGGCCCACAAGGACACAGUUGGUAAAGGAAGGGCUUGAAAUUUGAACCCACUCUAUUACAAAUUCUGCAUGCAAAAGUUGAACUGUGAUACUUAUGAGAUGUGUUUUUUGAUAAAACACAAACCCCACUAAAUGUACCCAUGCAAGAUGGAGGAAAUAUCAUGCCUUGUCAACGUGUGUGAAAAAUGGGCAUUAUUACUUUAUAACUAUUUUAAGUCCUACUAACUAGUGUUCUACCCUGCCAUGACCAGGCCACUCCUGGGGCACUGAGUUUAAUACUCAGGGCAUUCAGGAGACUUAUCCAUUCACUGAUCACCUUGGCUGCUUUUGCACCAAAAUAGCAGAGUGGAGUAGUUGCAACAGAGCUGAAAAUAUUUACUAUCUAUCUGGUUCUUUACAGAAAAUGUUUUCUGAGCCCUGAUCUGAACCAAUGUUUUC